GAUGAACGCUAGCGGCAGGCCUAACACAUGCAAGUCGAGGGGUAGAACAAUUCGUUGUUUGAGACCGGCGCACGGGUGCGUAACGCGUAUGCAAGCUACCUUGUGCAGGGGAAUCGCCCAGAGAAAUUUGGAUUAAUGAUCCAUAGUAUAUAAGCUUCGCAUGAUGGUAAUAUGAUAGGUCCAUCGGUACAAGAUGAGCAUGAGUCCCAUUCGUUAGUGGGAAAGGUAACGGCUACCCAAGACGAUGAUGGGUAGGGGUCCUGAGAGGGAGAUCCCCCACACUGGUACUGAGACACGGACCCGACUCGUACGGGAGGCAGCGGAGAGUAAUAUUGGUCAAUGGGCGCAAGCCUGAACCAGCCAUGCCGCGGGCAGGAAGACGGUCCCAUGGAUUGUAAUCUGCUUUUAUACAGGAGGAAACAACUCUACGUGUAGAGUCUUGACGGUACUGUAGGAAUAAGGAUCGGCUAACUCCGUGCCAGCCGCCGCCGUAAUAC
rnacentral:rRNA from 1 species